CGAUCAUUUAGCAUUUCACAUCAAUAAACCAGAUUAUGAAAAAUUCUCAUUACUCGGAAUAGUAAUUAGGAAAUGAACACCAACAGUGAACUACAAUAAGCUCCUUAAACAUUAAUCUUCUGGCAAUAAACGAAAAACAUGACAGUUCCAUAACACUGUUUUUGUCUCAAAAGUAAUAAAAACCGCAACUAAUUAAAAACUGAAAUGAAUGCAGGCAAAGCAAGCAAGCACCUCAGAAUCCGAGCUUAGUACGACGCCAGUGGCGGCGCUUAGCAUUGUACCUGAAAAAAAAAACAUAACAAGUUUUAACGACAGAGAACUUAUAACAUUGCAAUGACAAAGACAUAAAAAAGAGUGUAAUAAGAAGUACCUGAUGGUGUUGUCGGUCCUCAUGCGGAUCCAGUAGGGGAUUGGCCUAUUCUGCCUAAUCUUCUUCGCCAGCUUCUUCUUGAUUUUGAAUGUCUUGUGCGACGGCUAAAACAUCAACAAAGAAAUCAAUCAAACCAGACCAAAAAACAUGAAAGCAAAUUCC
rnacentral:lncRNA from 1 species